CUUGAAACACGGACCAAGGAGUUUAUCGUGUACGCAAGUCAUUGGGUGUUUAAAACCCAAAGGCGAAAUGAAAGUAAAGAGCAGAUAUUUGUAAAAAACUUUUUUUUUUACAACCUCUCUUAAGGGAAGAUGAAAAUCUCACAUACAAUUGUGUGUGAAGAUUUUCCGCACUCCCAGGGCGCUUGUACUCGCUUUGCGAAUCGAUGCGCACCUAGAGCGUACACGAUGAUACCCGAAAGAUGGUGAACUAUGCCUGGCCAGGACGAAGCCAGGGGAAACCCUGGUGGAGGUCCGCAGCGAUUCUGACGUGCAAAUCGAUCGUCGGAGCUGGGUAUAGGGGCGAAAGACCAAUCGAACCAUCUAGUAGCUGGUUCCCUCUGAAGUUUCCCUCAGGAUA
rnacentral:rRNA from 1 species